rnacentral:rRNA from 1 species
UACAGAGGUCCCAAGCGUUGUUCGGAUUCACUGGGCGUAAAGGGUGCGUAGGCGGUCGGGUAAGUCUGAUGUGAAAUCUCACAGCUUAACUGUGAAACUGCAUUGGAUACUAUCCGGCUCGAGGAAUGGAGGGGAGACUGGAAUACUUGGUGUAGCAGUGAAAUGCGUAGAUAUCAAGUGGAACACCAGUGGCGAAGGCGAGUCUCUGGACAGUUCCUGACGCUGAGGCACGAAGGUCAGGGGAGCAAACGGG